rnacentral:tRNA from 1 species
GCGGCCAUGGUGUAACGGUAGCACAAAUGCUUCCCAAGCAUUUAGCACGGGUUCGAAUCCCGUUGGCCGCU